UACGGGGGGGGCAAGCGUUGUUCGGAAUUACUGGGCGUAAAGGGCUCGUAGGCGGCCAACUAAGUCGGAUGUGAAAUCCCCAGGCUUAACCUGGGAACUGCAUCCGAUACUGGAUGGCUUGAAUCCGGGAGAGGGAUGCGGAAUUCCAGGUGUAGCGGUGAAAUGCGUAGAUAUCUGGAGGAACACCGGUGGCGAAGGCGGCAUCCUGGACCGGCAUUGACGCUGAGGCACGAAAGCGUGGGGAGCAAACAGGG
rnacentral:rRNA from 1 species